AUUGAACGCUGGCGGCAGGCCUAACACAUGCAAGUCGAGCGAGCGGCGGAAGGGUGAGUCAUGUCAGGGAAACUACCUGAUGGAGGGGGAUAACUCCUGGAAACGGUAGCUAAUACCGCAUACACUCAGAUGUGGCCAGCUGGGAUUAGCUCGUCGGUGGGGGAACGGCUCACCUAGGCGACGAUCCCUAGCUGGUCUGAGAGGAUGACCAGACACACUGGAACUGGGAACCGGUCCAGGCUCCUAGGGGAGGCAGCAGUGGGGAAUAUUGCACAAUGGUCGAAAGCCUGAUGCAGCCAUGCCGGUUGUGUGAAGAAGGCCUUCGGGUUGUAAAGCACUUUCAGCGGGGAGUCGUUACCCGCAGAAGAAGCACCGGCUAACUCCGUGCCAGCAGCCGCGGUAAUUC
rnacentral:rRNA from 1 species